CCUAGUGCACUAUCGUGUUUGGGAGAAAGAAGAAAGGGAAUAGGCUCAAGACUUCUUUUCUUUCCCAGAGUCCUGCAGGAAAGUCAGAAAUCCAACUGGUUGAGUUUAUACUGUUUAGUUGGAGGCCACCAUGACCUGGAAGAAGAAAAAAUUAAUGUCUCUAAAUGACCAAUAAGAAUGGAAUGGCUGGAGAUCAUCUCAGCAAAGAAGAGAGGUUUGGGAGAGCAGAAGAAUAAGACAGAAAAAAGUUCCCUCCAACGUGGGAGGAAGGCGUCCUUCAGAUAAGCAGCAGGCUCAGCAAGAUGAUCCUUACAGAGCUGAGACAUUAAUCCAG
rnacentral:lncRNA from 1 species